rnacentral:lncRNA from 1 species
CAUUCUUCUAUGGUUAGGUCCUGGCCAAUGGAGCUACACCAAAAUUUGGAAAUUAUCCAUUUUAAAUAGCAUGCCUCUCGUGUAACUUCGACAAAACAUAUGGGCAUUUCCUAUGCCCAAGUAAGGGCAGUCCAGGUCUGCAAACAAAUUGAAAAAUACAGGUAGCCAUUUAGGAUUAUAUAUGUCUAAUAGUAGCUCUUAGAUGACAAAUGAAAGAAUCUAACAGAGAUGCAUACAAAUGACCUCUGUGAGAUCGGAGAAGGCAGACAUGUGGUGGGGGCUGGAGUGGUCCAGUGUAAGAAUGACCGCGUCGUCACAAGAGCAGGGAGCACACGGG